GAUGAAGAACGCAGCGAAAUGCGAUAAGUAAUGUGAAUUGCAGAAUUCAGUGAAUCAUCGAAUCUUUGAACGCAUAUUGCGCCCGCCAGUAUUCUGGCGGGCAUGCCUGUCUGAGCGUCAUUUCAACCCUCAUGCCCCUAGGGCGUGGUGUUGGGGAUCGGCCAAAGCCCGCGAGGGACGGCCGGCCCCUAAAUCUAGUGGCGGACCCGUCGUGGCCUCCUCUGCGAAGUAGUGAUAUUCCGCAUCGGAGAGCGAUGAGCCCCUGCCGUUAAACCCCCAACUUUCCAAGGUUGACCUCAGAUCAGGUAGGAAUACCCGCUGAACUUAAGCAUAUCAAUAAGCGGAGG
rnacentral:misc_RNA from 1 species